rnacentral:rRNA from 1 species
CCCGCUGAACUUAAGCAUAUCAAUAAGCGGAGGAAAAGAAACUAACAAGGAUUCCCCUAGUAACUGCGAGUGAAGCGGGAAGAGCUCAAAUUUAAAAUCUGACGUGCGGUCAGCCGUCCGAGUUGUAGUCUGGAGAAGCGUUUUCUGUGUUGGACCAUGUACAAGUCCCUUGGAACAGGGCGUCAUAGAGGGUGAGAAUCCCGUCUUUGACAUGGACUACCAACGCUCUGUGAUGCGCUCUCAAAGAGUCGAGUUGUUUGGGGAUGCAGCUCAAAAUGGGUGGUAAAUUCCAUCUAAAGCUAAAUAUAGGCGAGAGACCGAUAGCGAACAAGUACCGUGAGGGAAAGAUGAAAAGCACUUUGGAAAGAGAGUUAAACAGUACGUGAAAUUGCUGAAAGGGCAACGCUUGAAGUCAAUCGCAUCUGCUGGGACUCAGCCUUGCUUAUGCUUGGUGCACUUUUCCAGUUUGAUGGGCCAGCAUCAAUUUCGAUCGUUAGAGAAAGGCCUUGGGAACGUGGCACCAUUCGGUGUGUUAUAGCCCUUGGUCAUAUGUGACGGUUGGGAUUGAGGAUCGCAGCACGCCUUUAUGGCUGGGGUUUUGCCCACACACGUGCUUAGGAUGCUGGCAUAAUGGCUUUAAGCGACCCGUCUUGAAACACGG